CCUACGGGGGGCUGCAGUGGGGAAUAUUGGACAAUGGGCGAAAGCCUGAUCCAGCCAUGCCGCGUGUGUGAAGAAGGCCUUCGGGUUGUAAAGCACUUUCAGUGGGGAAGAAAGCCUUGGGGCUAAUACCCUCGAGGAAGGACAUCACCCACAGAAGAAGCACCGGCUAACUCCGUGCCAGCAGCCGCGGUAAUACGGAGGGUGCGAGCGUUAAUCGGAAUUACUGGGCGUAAAGCGCGCGUAGGCGGUCUGAUAAGCCGGUUGUGAAAGCCCCGGGCUCAACCUGGGAACGGCAUCCGGAACUGUCAGGCUAGAGUGCAGGAGAGGAAGGUAGAAUUCCCGGUGUAGCGGUGAAAUGCGUAGAGAUAGGGAGGAAUACCAGUGGCGAAGGCGGCCUUCUGGACUGACACUGACGCUGAGGUGCGAAAGCGUGGGUAGCAAACAGGAUUAGAUACCCCAGUAGUC
rnacentral:rRNA from 1 species